CCCUCCUACGACGUGUUGACAUACAGGUGGUGGUUUUGUGUCACAAAGGGAAGGCGUAGCUCAUCAGCUAAAACCCCACUGUGGCACAGAAAGCCCUCCAUCCACUGUUCUGUAGUGUUUACGGGUCAGAAACCUUAAACACAGAGGCGUUGAACUUCUCCAAGACCACACAACUAGUCAGUAGAAGAAUUGAGGACUAGAACUUACAAGUCGGGGCCCACUAUGGGCUGAGUGUCGGCGUCCCCCCGAAAUGCCAUUUGUUGAAACCUAAUCCCAAGGGGAUGAAGUUAGGAGGCAGGACGUCCUCUGGAAGGAGAUGAGGUUAUGAGGCUGGAGCCCCCUUGAUGGCAUUCGUGUCCUUACAAGAGAGACCCCAGGGAGUCCUCAGCCCCUUCCACCUUGUAAGGACACAGCGAGAAGAUGUCAUCUGUGAACCAGGCAGCAGCUGUCACUAGACCCUGAAUCUGCCGGCGCCUGGAUCUUUGGACUUCCGGUGAACAUCUGAGAUCUGCCUUCAGCCUGGUGUUUGAGACUCCCUUCCUCCUGUUCCAGAUGCUCUACUAGCCAAAUUCCCCACCUUUUCAGAACACAACCAUGUGCACAGCACCAAGCCCUGCAUACUGGGCCCUGGGAGGAGGACAAGGACAUAAAACCACACAAGACGUAGACUUGAGUUUCAAGGAACUCCCAGCCCUCCAUGGCCUUCGCUCCCAUCAGCCUCAGUGUGUGACGUUUGCAGUUCGUGCAGCACAAGCCUAGAGGAGGGAAAGAGCUGGUCUCGCAUUUUCCUGCAGUCACCGAUCCCCUGGCGUGUCCAUGUGCAAUGUAGGCUGUGCAUAAAAUAAAUGCCAGUGGCACAUAA